rnacentral:rRNA from 1 species
GAGUUUGAUCGUGGCUCAGGAUGAACGCUGGCGGCGUGCCUAAUACAUGCAAGUCGAGCGAACGGACGAGAAGCUUGCUUCUCUGAUGUUAGCGGCGGACGGGUGAGUAACACGUGGGUAACCUACCUAUAAGACUGGGAUAACUCCGGGAAACCGGGGCUAAUACCGGAUAACACAUGAAACCGCAUGGUUUCAUGAUGAAAGACGGUCUUGCUGUCACUUAUAGAUGGAUCCGCGCUGCAUUAGCUAGUUGGUAAGGUAACGGCUUACCAAGGCAACGAUGCAUAGCCGACUGAGAGGGUGAUCGGCCACACUGGAACUGAGACACGGUCCAGACUCCUACGGGAGGCAGCAGUAGGGAAUCUUCCGCAAUGGGCGAAAGCCUGACGGAACAACGCCGCGUGAGUGAUGAAGGUCUUCGGAUCGUAAAACUCUGUUAUUAGGGAAGAACAUAUGUGUAAGUAACUGUGCACAUCUUGACGGUACCUAAUCAGAAAGCCACGGCUAACUACGU